rnacentral:rRNA from 1 species
UGCAAGUCGAGCGAACAGACGAGGAGCUUGCUCCUCUGACGUUAGCGGCGGACGGGUGAGUAACACGUGGAUAACCUACCUAUAAGACUGGGAUAACUUCGGGAAACCGGAGCUAAUACCGGAUAAUAUAUUGAACCGCAUGGUUCAAUAGUGAAAGACGGUUUUGCUGUCACUUAUAGAUGGAUCCGCGCCGCAUUAGCUAGUUGGUAAGGUAACGGCUUACCAAGGCAACGAUGCGUAGCCGACCUGAGAGGGUGAUCGGCCACACUGGAACUGAGACACGGUCCAGACUCCUACGGGAGGCAGCAGUAGGGAAUCUUCCGCAAUGGGCGAAAGCCUGACGGAGCAACGCCGCGUGAGUGAUGAAGGUCUUCGGAUCGUAAAACUCUGUUAUUAGGGAAGAACAAAUGUGUAAGUAACUAUGCACGUCUUGACGGUACCUAAUCAGAA